AUACGGAGGAUCCAAGCGUUAUCCGGAUUUAUUGGGUUUAAAGGGUGCGCAGGCGGCCUUAUAAGUCAGUGGUGAAAUCUCCCGGCUCAACCGGGAAACUGCCAUUGAUACUGUAAGGCUAGAAUACAGACGAGGUAGGCGGAAUGUAGCAUGUAGCGGUGAAAUGCUUAGAGAUGCUACAGAACACCAAUCGCGAAGGCAGCUUACCAGACUGUAAUGGACGCUAAGGCACGAAAGCGUGGGGAGCGAACAGGAUUAGAAACCCCAGUAGUCC
rnacentral:rRNA from 1 species